UCCUGGCUCAGAUUGAACGCUGGCGGCAUGCUUUACACAUGCAAGUCGAACGGCAGCGCGGGGCAACCUGGCGGCGAGUGGCGAACGGGUGAGUAAUAUAUCGGAACGUACCCAAGAGUGGGGGAUAACGUAGCGAAAGUUACGCUAAUACCGCAUACGAUCUAAGGAUGAAAGUGGGGGAUCGCAAGACCUCAUGCUCCUGGAGCGGCCGAUAUCUGAUUAGCUAGUUGGUGAGGUAAAGGCUCACCAAGGCGACGAUCAGUAGCUGGUCUGAGAGGACGACCAGCCACACUGGGACUGAGACACGGCCCAGACUCCUACGGGAGGCAGCAGUGGGGAAUUUUGGACAAUGGGCGCAAGCCUGAUCCAGCAAUGCCGCGUGAGUGAAGAAGGCCUUCGGGUUGUAAAGCUCUUUUGUCAGGGAAGAAACGGCUGAGGAUAAUACCUUUGGCUAAUGACGGUACCUGAAGAAUAAGCACCGGCUAACUACGUG
rnacentral:rRNA from 1 species